AUGGUUAGGUAUGGUGUGGGAUCAGACGCUACCCCCAAAAUAGGAUAAACUAAAAGGCUGCAGUCGUGAAGAGGAGUUUAUUGACAUAACCAUAAUUCCCUUACAAAAAAAUAGGACGGUAACACCAAGAUCAGUGCUUUCUUCGCCGUAGGCCUUGAAGAUUUUGGUGAUUUGAUCCAGAACUGGAUCCUGGAGAUUCCACCUCUCCCCUGUAAACUCCUUUUAGCAUAAACAGAUAUUAUCUGCGCACGAGAAGGAGGAGAACAGAGUCCCAAUAAAAAUACCUCGCAGCUUAACUGCCUAGCUGGUAGCUUCCCGCACACAGUAAAACAGCCAACGCGCAGACUGACGCAAAGUUGAAAGGAGAGCUGUUUCCCCGUGGGACUAUCAAACACGAACCUCUUUUAGUUCAGUAAGGAGACAAGCUUUCACCCACAUUGGCUGGGUAAUCUCCUUUGGAGGGAGGGCUGCUCAUCUCGCACAGGGUCCAAAGCUCCUGAGGGAAAAGCAAAAAAACCAACGCCGGCCACAGCCGUAAGAAAAACAUCCACGGGUACCCUAGGAGCGACACCCAACCCCGACGGCUCGCCCCACGAAGGCGAGGGGUGCCACCGGCCCCAUCCCACGGGGAUCUGCUGCCUUCGGGGAGCCGGGGGUGCCGGCCGGAGCGGCGAUAGCUGGCGCUGCCUUGCCACCUAGUGUCGCCGGCACGGACUGCAGGUCCCCGCCCGCGCCCACCCCCCGCCGCAGCGCUGCGUCCUAAUGGCCGGGCUUGGGAAGAAAUCCGGGCUCCUUAUCUAGCUGGAAUUACAGGAACUUCAGCUUUUUUACAUUCAUUUGCAUCAAUAUUUUAUGCGCCGUAAUGGCCGGAUAACCCCCGCGCUAAGAGACUCUAUUUCAUAUUGUCAAUAGCGAUGGGAAGGGGAUAAAUUACCAGUGGCCACACGCGCUAUCUGUGGCUCAUUUAGAAACGGUUCUUUAGCUGAUUAGAUAUCGCCUAAAAGUAGAUAUUUAGUGUCACUCAGCCCCGCUGCAUCUCCUGAUUUAGUGCUGAAGCCGUGGCGGGACCAAAGCCAUUAGCCGAGCGCCGCCGCCACCGCUCAACUUGUUUGGCAAACGCGGCCCCUCCGCUUGCGACUGCCGUGAUUUACAUAUGGAGCCUUGGGAGCAGAGCCAGAUUCUGAAAUUGUUGGAGGAAAUAUAUUGAGAGGAGGCUGCGCUCUCAUUGCUCACCUGCCAUCAGCACACAGUUCAGCUUUCCGAAAGCAGAGACACUUGAUCAUCGUCUCAGCUUCACCGAGCAUGUUAAAUCUGUGCUGCACAUCAACAAAUGUCACGCUCUUUGAUGGAGUACAGUUUAAGAAUAAAAAAUACGGUCAUCCUAGCGAAAGAGACACUUGUGACGGUGGGAGCCAGAGACCAUGGAACAUUUUACAGUCAUUGCCAUAGCCUGGCAAAGUCCUGUUAUUUAUUUACAGCCACAUUUUGGCCUGCAGCAUAAGCCUGAUGGUGGUGGUGGAAGGGGAAGGAGGAGGAGGUGCUGAGUGGUGAUGCUGGUAGGUGCUUCAAACCUUUGCUCUCGCCUUUUCUCUCUGUCCAUUGCUCUUGCUGCCAUAUUUAUUCCAUAUCUGAGCAAAGCAGUUUCUUUAGUAAGUGUCUGAGCUGCACUGCUGGGUGUGAACACAUCAACCUGUUUUAACCUCCUUUGCAGUUUCUAAAUUUCCUUGUUUACCUCUUUCAUUCUCAGUUUGUUCACUGUUGCUAAUAAUCAGCAGGGUCUACUCCCUUUGUGGCUGUUUUCUCCAGACGUAAUUAAAUUGUCUGGGAUUGACAUUUGGCUCCGCUGAGGUUUGGGUUGUAUCUUCUUGGCUGCCUCAGUGUCCUCCUUCAUUUGGGAUUCUGAUCACUGCCUGCCCCCGCAUGGCACAUGAUCAAUGGAUGCUUUCACUCCUGCCAGACUCCCUUGUGCUUGGAAUAAGGCUGGUAAGUAUUUCUGGCACUCGGAGCACUCCGGAAGGGUAUUUCAAGUCUCAGCCUCAGCUGCAGUGCCUACUGUGCAUGCUGGAGCCUGCAGCACGCCACAGCAAUGUACGGGGGGCCCUGUCCCUUCCCAACGAGGCCGUGAGCAAUCCAGGGCUGCCAUCUCCCUUCACACUCAGCUGCAGCUCUGCUUUGGAGCUUUCUGUCAUUCUUUGGUGAGUGAUAAAGCCCUGCCAAAGCAGAUGAUUAACCAGAGUCCGGUCUCCUGAUGCUGUCAGUGCCCUUGCUAAAGGGUGUCAGGAUGACCUUGUGCCUCUCCUGCCCCUCUUCUUCUCUGCCACUGGUACGAAGCUUUCUUUUGCAAGUUCCACAUGCUACAAGCUAUGCUAUAUGCUCUGCUGUUUUGCAAUGGUGCUUUUAAUCCCUUAAUUUCAGGUUUGGGAAACAGUGUGGAUAGUAACGAUAACAGGCCUCAUCUUUUCCAUGACAUGUCGUCGUGUCCCUGGGUGACUGCCGGUGUCUUUCACAAGGCUACAGUUAGUCCCCUUGCACCUGGGAAGGAUUUCUGUUAGUUUCUGUUUUCACUCUUGGUGACAUACACCCUCUUGUUCAGGCCCAAAGGUAUGUGUCUCAUGACCUACUACUUACUACUUUCCACUGUCAAAUCCACUGACUUUAGUUGGUGCAGCAGCAGGUAGACAUUCUAGAGAUGUCCUUGUCGGAUAGUUUGACAUUGCAAGUUUUAGUCACCAUAUUAAGUUUCCCGAGUUUUCCGCGCCUUUUCUUGCCCAUCUGCCCGUGGUUAGCUUUGCAGUGACCAUCACUGUAUGUUUUCAUGGUCAGGUCCUUGAACAUUGGCAUGUCUUCUCACUGCAACUUGCUCAUAUCUUUCCCAUAAAUAUCCUUCACUUUCUACCUUCAUCUCCCAUCUGUUCCUACUCUGAAGUCUCCGUGAUUGCUUCUAGCUGGGAGCACUUCUAUGUGUACAUCAAAUCUGUCUUUUUAUCAUCCCUAAUAG